rnacentral:rRNA from 1 species
UACGGGGGGGGCAAGCGUUGUUCGGAAUUACUGGGCGUAAAGGGCUCGUAGGCGGCCAACUAAGUCAUACGUGAAAUCCCUCGGCUUAACCGGGGAACUGCGUCUGAUACUGGAUGGCUUGAGUUCGGGAGAGGGAUGCGGAAUUCCGGGUGUAGCGGUGAAAUGCGUAGAUAUCCGGAGGAACACCGGUGGCGAAGGCGGCUUCCUGGACCGAUUACUGACGCUGAGGCGCGAAAGCUAGGGGAGCAAACGGG